AAGUCGUAACAAGGUCUCCGUUGGUGAACCAGCGGAGGGAUCAUUACCGAGUCUAAACAACUCAUCAACCCUGUGAACAUACCUAAAACGUUGCUUCGGCGGGAACAGACGGCCCCGUAACACGGGCCGCCCCCGCCAGAGGACCCCUAACUCUGUUUAUAUUAUGUUUUUUCUGAGUAAACAAGCAAAUAAAUUAAAACUUUCAACAACGGAUCUCUUGGCUCUGGCAUCGAUGAAGAACGCAGCGAAAUGCGAUAAGUAAUGUGAAUUGCAGAAUUCAGUGAAUCAUCGAAUCUUUGAACGCACAUUGCGCCCGCCAGUAUUCUGGCGGGCAUGCCUGUUCGAGCGUCAUUACAACCCUCAGGCCCCCGGGCCUGGCGUUGGGGGAUCGGCGGAAAGCCCCCUGUGGGCGUACGCCGUCCCCUAAAUACAGUGGCGGUCCCGCCGCAGCUUCCAUUGCGUAGUAGCUAACACCUCGCGACUGGAGAGCGGCGCGGCCAAGCCGUAAAACCCCCAACUUCUGAAUGUUGACCUCGAAUCAGGUAGGAAUACCCGCUGAACUUAA
rnacentral:rRNA from 1 species